GAUGUGGCACCCAGGGAAUGGAUGUGGCACUCAGGGGACACACAUAACACUUGGGGAGGGGGACAUGGCACCCAGGGAAUGGACAGGGCACCCAGAGGACACAUGUGACACUUGGGGACAGGGACAUGGCACCCAGGGGAUGCAUGUGGCACUUGGGGACACACACACACACAUGGCACCCAGGGGAUGGACAUGGUGCCCAGGGGACAUAGUACCCAGGGGAGGCUGCGGGAGGGGGACAGCACCCAGGGGACACACACAGAACCCAGGGGGCAUGGCAUGUGGGAGAUGUGGUACCCAGGGGACAUGGCACCCAGGGGACACACAUGCACCCAAGGGGAUGGACAUGGCAUCUGGGGGACACACACGGAACCCAGGGGACACAGGACCUAGGGGAUGGACAUGGCACNNNNNNNNNNCUGUGACCCCCAGGGGUGCCAGCCAGGACCCCACGUCCUGCAGCCUCCCCCCCCACAGUGGGUGACCCUCUUUUCUCCCCCAGGACCCCCACCCCAGAGACGGGGGACGGCGAGUGCGAGGGGCCCCAGGAGGAGAGCCGGGGGUGCUCGGGGGGGCCCUGCCCACCCCUCUGCCUGCAGGGGGGCAGCGAGCGGCAGCUGGGCGAGAGCUGGCCCCAGGGCGAGUGCCAGCGAUGGUCAGUGCCGGGGGGAGCCGGGGGGCUGGGGGGGGUGUGUGUGUGAUCUGCACCCCCAAACCCACCCACCGUGUCCCCCCACCCACAGCACCUGCACCCCCGAGGGCACCCAGUGCCAGGACAUCCCCUGUGCCGGGUCGGGGGGCUGCGUGUGGGGUGCCUGGACCCCCUGCUCCCGCUCCUGUGGCACCGGCCUGGCCACCCGGGAGGCUGCCUGUCACCACAGCCACGGUGACGGUGACAGUGAUGGUGCCGGUGAUGGUGACGGUGAUGGUGAUGGUGCCAGCCAGGAGCUACACCGUGAGGCGCGGGUGUGUUAUCUGCGCCCCUGCCCAGGUAAGGUGUCGGGGUGGGUUGGGGGGGGGCUGGAUGGGGUCCCUGCCC
rnacentral:lncRNA from 1 species